rnacentral:tRNA from 1 species
CAAAGUGUAGCUUAAAACAAAGCAUCUGGCUUACACCUAGAAGACUUCAACGUAACUGAACACUUUGA